rnacentral:misc_RNA from 1 species
GAUGAAGAACGUAGCGAAAUGCGAUAAGUAAUGUGAAUUGCAGAAUUCAGUGAAUCAUCGAAUCUUUGAACGCACAUUGAGCCCAUUAGCAUUCUAGUGGGCAUGCCUGUUCGAGCGUCAUUUCAACCCUUAAGCCCUGUUGCUUAGCGUUGGGAGCCUACAGUACUGUAGCUCCCCAAAGUUAGUGGCGGAGUCGGUUUCACACUCUAGACGUAGUAAUUUUUUCUCGUCUGUAGUUGAGCCGGUCCCCUGCCGUAAAACACCCAAUUUAUCAAGGUUGACCUCGGAUCAGGUAGGAAUACCCGCUGAACUUAAGCAUAUCAAUAAGCGGAGGA